AGUGAACGCUGGCGGUAGGCCUAACACAUGCAAGUCGAACGGCAGCACAGUAAAAGCUUGCUCUUACGGGUGGCGAGUGGCGGACGGGUGAGGAAUACAUCGGAAUCUACUUAUUCGUGGGGGAUAACGUAGGGAAACUUACGCUAAUACCGCAUAAGACCUACGGGUGAAAGCAGGGGCUCUUCGGACCUUGGGCGAUUGAAUGAGCCGAUGUCGGAUUAGCUAGUUGGCGGGGUAAAGGCCCACCAAGGCGACGAUCCGUAGCUGGUCUGAGAGGAUGAUCAGCCACCCUGGAACUGAGACACGGUCCACACUCCUACGGGAGGCAGCAGUGGGGAAUAUUGCACAAUGGGCGCAAGCCUGAUCCAGCCAUACCGCGUGAGUGAAGAAGGCCUUCGGGUUGUAAAGCCCUUUUGUUGGGAAAGAAAAGCAGCAGGUUAAUACCCCGCUGUUCUGACGGUACCCAAAGAAUAAGCACCGGCUAACUUCGUG
rnacentral:rRNA from 1 species